rnacentral:lncRNA from 1 species
AAAGCCUGUAGCAGCCCUUCUGAUGCUGACAGUUUAAAUCUAAGAAGCUCUGACAUUACUGGGAAUCCUCUUGAAGUGGCUGCAGCUUGAGGAAAAUCCAGCUGUUCCAGAAAAGGAGACUUUUCAAUUAAACAACAUCUUCCUUUCCAUCAAAGAUAGAUUUUUAAGGACUUUUAAAUUGGCUUUACGCUGUUGGUAUUAAGCGAGGGCUGGAUUUCACCUCUUGCCUUUCAGGGCUGGAGGCCUGAGCCCCGCUUGGGCUUUAUGCCAGAUGGUUAGCAGACUGGAACCAGAGGGAUGGGUUAUUUCUUUUAAGGGAGGAAAAGGAAUUGACAGAAGGAGUGAGCUUAUUAAAUUGUCUCAGUCUGCUUUUAUUGAUGCAUUUGCAGAGUCGGCAGGUAGACUCACAACUGAAAGAAUUCCACCAGCAAAACAGCCUGUUUCUAGCCUGGGUUCUCCGGUGGCGUUUCCAAGCUUCUGGCUGAGCUUAAUGCUGCCUUCUUCCUGCCAGGGAGAGUGCAUCCCACAAAUGCUUCACAGCUGAAGAAUUGCUCCUAAAUUGAAUAUGGAAGGCUGUUUCCGGCUUGCAGUAGAGAUACAGGGUCCUGUCUCCCUCCUACCUUCCAGACCCCCAAGCCCAACCAAGGAAGAGCUGUCACUUUGGAGGCAAGUAUAGCAUCUUCCUAUCCAGACAGUGGCAGAACCCAUUGGGUC